rnacentral:rRNA from 1 species
UGGACAAUGGUAGGAGAGCGUUCUAAGGGCGUUGAAGCAUGAUCGUAAGGACAUGUGGAGCGCUUAGAAGUGAGAAUGCCGGUGUGAGUAGCGAAAGACGGGUGAGAAUCCCGUCCACCGAUUGACUAAGGUUUCCAGAGGAAGGCUCGUCCGCUCUGGGUUAGUCGGGUCCUAAGCUGAGGCCGACAGGCGUAGGCGAUGGAUAACAGGUUGAUAUUCCUGUACCACCUAUAAUCGUUUUA